UCCAUCUUGCACCUAAACCGCCAUUUCUGCCUGCGCCAUCUGCCGUUUUCUUUGUUGAGUGAAACAGAAACGGUACAGCACGCGCUUUCUCUUGCAUGCUUUUCCGACAUUGUCUGCUUGAAUUUUUCUCUGCUUGUGUUCCAUAAGACGCGAACAACAUGGAAGAUAACCGAAACAAGACCAAUAUUAAUAGAAAGAACGGCGCUGGCGAAAGUAAAUAUCUGCCGGAGUUGCUGGCGGAGAAAGACAGCCUGGACUCUUCGUUCACGCACUCCAUGAAACUCCUGACCGCAGAGAUUGAGCGUGUCCAGAAGGGUGAACCCAAGAGAGAUGGCGAGAUGUACCUAGAUCUGCUCACUGCAAAGAAUGUUAGGGUGAAAGAAAGAGUGCUCAUUCCUGUGAAGCAGUACCCUCGGUUUAAUUUUGUGGGAAAGAUUCUGGGACCGCAGGGCAGCACCAUCAAACGCUUGCAAGAAGACACUGGGGCUAAAAUCUCUGUUCUGGGGAAAGGCUCCAUGAGAGAUAAGAACAAGGAAGAGGAGCUGAGGAAGGGUGGAGAUGCCAAGUACGCACAUUUGGGCAUGGAGCUGCACGUGUACAUUGAGGUUUUUGCUCCCAUUCCUGAUUGCUACCUGCGUAUGGCUCAUGCUAUGGACGAGGUCAAGAAGUUCCUAAUGCCUGUUGAUAAUAUGGAUGAGAUGCUUCAGGAUCCAUACAUGGAUCCAGGGUAUCUGAACGGGGCCCAGGAUGUUCCUCCCCAUGGGAGAGGAGCCCCUCCAGUCAGGGGCCGUGGUGGCCCACCUCCCCCGAUGGGGGCUAGGGGUCGCGGUAUGCCCCCUCGUGGUGGACCCCGUGGUGGAGCUCCAAGAGGAGGCCCAGGGCGAGGAGCUUCAUCAAGGGGAGCUCCUGCAGGCCGAGGUGGUCCUCCACCCUCCACACCAAACAGAGGAGGAGCUUCCUCUCGCUCGAGACCACCAACUCCUUCUCAGAGGAUGACACCAACAUCUGCUCUCUCCCACCAACAUCAGUCCCUACCAAAACCCGAAGGCUAUGAUGAAUAUGCAUAUGAAGAACCAUACGCAGAGACCUCCUAUGAAGCAUAUGAAAGCUACUACAGUCAGCCUCCCGCUCAGCCAGACACAGAGUAUUAUGACUAUGGUCAUGGAGAGUCACAGGAGACUUACCCGUCUUACACUGAAGAUGACUGGGAGGGCGGUGCUUGGGGUAGCAGUGGUGGAAAAGCUCCGUCUGCCCGCCCGGGCAAAUCUUAUCGGGAACAUCCAUAUGGCAGAUACUGAGAGCUGUCCAUCUCUGAAGUUGCUCGGGCAACAUCCUCUCGUAACUCCUCAUAACCAUCUAAACUUUCGAAACUUUGUAUUUGACUUAUUUUAGUGAACCAUGAAUGACCGUAAGUGAAUCAUCCCAUACAAAACUGACAACUGUUGCUUAAAUUCUGCAUGCAUUUUUCUUUACUAUCAUAAUAUUUAUACUCUUCAAUAUUUAAAGAGAAAAUUCACCUAAUGCAUAACUGUUCAUCUUGCAAAAUAUAUUGUGUAUAAACUGUUGCUAAAUGGUGUGCAAUUAGUGUACAAUUAUUUGCAUUUACUAGAUCAUGAAAAAAUUCAGCCUACAUGGGUCACAUGGUCUUGUACAAGAAUAAUUUACGUCAGAAUAAAGAUUGUCAAAUUGUUUCUUUCGUUCACCAUUUUAAUAGGCUAUUUUUGUUACUUUUUUAUGAUUUACUAAUAAUUUAAAGGGGUCAUAUCAUGUCAAAAGCUAAUUUUCCUUUUAAGUUCAGUGUACUAUGAAGAGGGAAAAAAAAAAACACUAAAAAGUUAAGCCUACUUGUCAAAGACUGCUAUUGAAACUAGCCUACAAACACUGACAUUAUUUAUUUGAUUUCUGCUACCGGAAACACAAAAUUAAAGCUGCUCCGUCCAAAUGUUAAUGACCCUUAUUUGAUCAUAACGAUUACAUGGAAUUCGUAAAGGUCACAGUUUAAAAACAGACUGUUUCAGGGUGAGAGUGGGUGGGGAAUGGAAAAAUGUAAUUUUAUUAAAAAAAUAAUGCAAGUUGCUCUAAUGAAAUGAUAUGACCCCUUUUAACAGUUGUCAAUCUAUCCACGUUAACAAUGAUUUAUACACAAUACCAAGAAAAUCCUAUAUUUUGUCUAUACCUGUUUUAAAAGCUACCUCAUCAGAGUCACUAAAUCCCUCUGACGUUAGAGAUUGAACUCUCACUCCAUGUCUGUCUUCUAUUGAAAAGGAUCUUUAGGUAAGACCUGCAGAGUCACCUCUAAAAGAACCAAUAGUUUCCUUUUUAUAGAAGGUAAAGUAUAUAUGGAAAUCAUUACAAGAAAAGAAUGUAGGUGUUUGGUCCAUGGAUAUCUGUCCCUGGGCAUGUGAAAUUAAAAAAAAAAUAAUAAUAAUAAAGGCAAACAAAACGGCAUGAUAUAUAUUGUGCUCAACCAGAGUGUUACUCUACUUUCGCUGGCUUAAUAAAACAACAAAAGUGGGGAAGGCGGCGUAAGAUGUAACGCAAGCUUCAAAAAGGUAACACCAAUCCUAAAUUUCUCUCUCUAGCUUUACUUCUCACUUAUUGGGUAAAUUUAAGUUGUUGUUUCCCAAUUCAAAAGCCACCAUGGCAACAUGGCUAAUACGUGUCAUAUAACAUUAACUUUCUAAAACAACGCUUGGUAGACUUCAGUAGAAUGUUAUUAUAUACAGCUCUUUUAAAAACAAAAUUCUAGAAUCUUAGACAAAAUUAUACUUUUCUUUAAAGACAAGUUUACUCAAUUUUGUUUUAGUUGUAAAAAAUGUACUCAAAUCUUAAGAUUACAUGUGUAUGAUUGGGUUAAGAUUGAGGUCUUGUAUACUAACUCAUAUUUUGUGUUGCUCAGUGACUGAUGCAGUGAAAGUGGUGUCCAGACUUUGUUACUACAAGGCAGCUGCAACAGGCUUUUGGUGCCAUUUGUUGUACCAGAGGAAAGUGACGAGCACCAUUGUAUGAUCUUUGUAUAAGUGUUUUUUAUUGAAGCUGCCAUUAAGUUUUUAUAAUGUAUUUUUUUUUUUUAGAUAUUUUGUUACUCAAGAUUUUAUGCAAAUGCAUUUGUACAUUGACAUUUUAUUAAACUAUGCUUUCUGAUGUCAAAGCGAGAAACUAAGUCUGUAUGAAAGUGUGUGCAAUAAAGCAUGUGUUUUACAGUGA